rnacentral:rRNA from 1 species
GUCCACGCCGUAAACGAUGGGUGCUAGGUGUCGCGGGCUUUGACCCCUGCGGUGCCGCAGCUAACGCAUUAAGCACCCCGCCUGGGAAGUACGGCCGCAAGGCUAAAACUCAAAGGAAUUGACGGGGGCCCCGCACAAGCGGUUGAGCAUGUUGUUUAAUUCGACGCAACGCGAAGAACCUUACCUGGGCUAGAAAACAUGAGAACCCGGUUUAAAAGUCGGGGUGCUCUUCGGAGAACUCAUGGUUAGGUGCUGCAUGGCUGUCGU